rnacentral:rRNA from 1 species
AUUGAACGCUGGCGGCAGGCCUAACACAUGCAAGUCGAGCGAGCGGCGGACGGGUGAGUAAUGUAUGGGGACUGCCCGAUAGCGGGGGAUAACAACUGGAAAAGGUAGCUAAUACCGCAUACUAUCGGAUAACCCAUAUGGGAUGAGCUAGUAGGUGAGGUAAUGUCUCACCUAGGCGACGAUCCCUAGCUGGUCGGAGCGGAUGACCAGCCACACUGGGACUGAGACACGGCCCAGACUCCUCCGGAGGCCGACGUGGGGAAUCUUGCACAAUGGGCGCAAGCCUGAUGCAGCCAUCCCGCGUGGAUGAAGAAGGCCCUAGGGUUGUAAAGUACUUUCAGUCGGGAAGCGUUACCGACAGAGAAAGCACCGGCUAACUCCGUGCCAGCAGCCGCGGUAAUAC